rnacentral:rRNA from 1 species
AUGGAGGUAGAGAAGAAGUCAAAGGAUGAAUUACAUCUCAAGAUUAAGAGUAAGGACAAGUCCUCGGUGAAUGAGGAGGACGAGAAGAAGGAGAUCGAGAUAGAAAUUGACGCCAAGGUUGUGGAGAAGGAAGAGGUGUCCAGUGAUGGUUCAAAGUCUGCAGGCAAAGUCAAGGAAACUAAAAAAGACAAAGAAAAGGAAGGGAAAAACAAGUCAGAGAAGCAUGUAGAUGAACAUGAAGACGAUCAGAAGACAAGUAAGAAGGAUAAAAAGGAGAAGGAUGAGAAAAAGAAAGAAGAUGGCGAAGGCUCAGAAAAGGACAAGGCCAAGAAAGGGAAAGAUAAGAAGAGCGAGAGCAAAGAGAAGGAUAAAAAUAGCGCCAAGGAGACUGGACCUGAUGCAGAUGACAGUAGCCCCAAGAACAAAAAGAAGGAUAAGGACAAGGCAAAGAAGAAGGAUGAAAGCGAUGAAAAACAAGAGAAAGACAAAGACAAGGAGGAACAUGAGAACAAGAAGAAGCAUGUAGAAGUGGAUCAGACAAGAGAAAUCAAGCUACAAGAUAAUGAGUCGGCGAAGAAAGGAACUGAUGCUUCUGAAGAGAAGAAGGAUGGCACGGACAAAGCAAAGGAUAAAAGAAAGAGAGACAGUGCGAAGAAGCAAGAUGAACAUAAGGAAAUCGGUGACAAGGACGAACAAGGUAACAAGAAAGAUACAGAGAAGAAGGACAAGAAGAAAGAUAAGACCGACAAGAAGGGGGGAGGCAAGAAGAAGGAUGGCGAUGAUGAGAAGGAAGAAGGUAAGAAGGACAAAGAAGCGAAGGAGAAGAAGAAAGAUAAGACCGGCAAGGAAGAAACUAAGAAGAAAAAGAAGGAUGGGGAGGAAGAAGGUAUGAAGAAAGACAAAGAGAAGAAGAAAGACAAGGGCGGCAAGGAGAAGACCAACGAUCCGGCAAAGCUUAAGAAGAAGCUGGAGAAGAUCGACGCGAAGUUACAAGACCUACAUGCUGAAAAGGAAGACAUCCUAAGGCAGCUGAAGGAGCUCGAAGAGGGAAUGACCACUGAAGAGAAGAAGCCUGUACAGAUAGUGGAAGCGAGUGGCAAGGCCAAGUCCAAGGAAGAUGAUCUUGUUACUGCACCCUGA